rnacentral:snoRNA from 1 species
AGAUUGAGAUGAACAUGAGAUUAUAUCCCUAUUGGGAUGAUUGCCUGCAUGAUGGCAAAACCUAGCUGUAUCUGAUCAUCA